GUGUCUGUGGGAUGAACAGGUCACAGUAGUUAUCACCAUUUAGUUCACUUUGUCAGCUUAUAGUCAUGUCUUAAGCUGAUCGUUGAGAAUGGGAAACGA
rfam:Oryza meridionalis cultivar OR44 (W2112) chromosome 5, whole genome shotgun sequence.